rnacentral:lncRNA from 1 species
CUGGACGAAGAGCCUCCGCGUCCUCGAGCUCGUCCACCUUUGUGAAACGACGAAGAAAUAUCCUGAUCGCCCGCUCCGGUGGAGGAGUCAUCGCCAUCGCCACUUCCAGCGCUGGGUGUGCCGGCGGAGCAUUCCUUGUCCGCCAGCUGAAGCCUGGAUCAACGACCCCUCUUCUCCGUUAUCCAAUCCAGCAAGCCAUCAGCAACAGGUACCUUGAUGCGUUUGUGAGCGGCACUAGUAACACUCUUGGCAGCCGCAGGACCAGCACAGCUUCUUCCGUGGAGCUCUCUCUGCAUUACAGAACGCUCUUUUCGACUGGGACUAUGGUGUUAGCAGUGGAGACUCGCUCAAAGGUAACCAGCAAUCAAACACUCUAGAUUUCAUCAAGUAGAAAAGAGGAGAAGGUUUGGAGCGCACACAUCUCUCUCGACAGUAGAUUUGGAAGCAACGAGAGCUCUUCAAGGAGAAAAAGCGCUAUCCCACCAGAAAGAAGGCAACAAUGAGACGAACGAACGAAGCUACGAACCAACAAACCACCUUUAAUGUGUGUUGCAUGGGAUGGGCCAUUCUUUCUCGGCCGCAGGGACUCGUACGAAUUACCAAAGCGCUGCAAGGGCGACCAGUUCAGCCGCGCGAAGAGAGAGACGAAGAAAAACAAAACUCGGGGCUCGCGAAUCCCAGCCGUCGCUCCCCCGCAUCCGACGGCCCCUAGACAAAGAUACUGGCCACGUCGCGGAUCCGCUGAGAUCCCGCCACGCGUCGGGCGCACGCGGCCAAUGGGUCGUGGGAAAUUGUUGUAGCCCAUGACCACAUCACAUUGGUGACGUCGACGUCCCAACAAAGUACUUGGC